AUUCCAGCUCCAAGAGCGUAUAUUAUAGUUGCAGCGAUUAAAAAGCUCGUAGGUGGAUUUCAGUCUAGGAAGGUUAACUCGCCGAAAGGUUGUACGUUGAUUCUUCAGACUUCGUCAGAAGCUCGUGCUGCACUUAAGUGUGAUGUUCUGACCUUUCACCUUAAGGAAAGUAGAGGGAUUCAGGCAGGCUACCCAGCUUGAAAACAUUAGCAUGGAAUAAUGAAAUGGAUCUCGGUUCGAUUUCGUUGAUUCUAGAGCUGAGGUGAUGAUCAAUAGGAACAGGCGAAGGUUUUCGUACCUGAGAGUGAGGAGUGAAGUCCGAUGAUCCCUUAAGGGCGAUCCGAGGCGAAAACAUACGUCAAGGAUGCCUUCAUUA
rnacentral:rRNA from 1 species